GUACUGAUUGGGACGCUAGUCAAGCACUACAUUAAUGUCAAAUGAUAGCCUUAAAGUUAAAAUGCCACCACUAACAAAAUCCUUAGCCUUAUUUUGACUUGACAAACAUAUCCUGCCCCUGCAUACUGAUUUUCGCACUUUUUUGCUUCCUUCAGAACCUGGAUUCAUCUAGCAUUAUUGCUUCGCCUUGCAAGGACUGACUUAUAUACGCCCAC
rnacentral:lncRNA from 1 species